GUCCCUCCUCAGACGCAUGGCACUUCCUACCACCCUCCCGCUGUGUGUUCUUGGACAACUGGCAACCUCUCUGGGCCUCGGGUGUCUGAAAGAUGGGGAUGGAGAGUCUUCAAACAGGCCUUGCCUUCACGUCCUCAAGAGUUGCCUCAGUAGAAGAGGGAGCCGAGUCUCAGAAAGGUCAAAGAACUAAGACUCAGGCAUCUGUUAGAAACUGCAGAGGGGAAUUUGCAGGUUCCAAGAUGGGCACUGGAGUUGCAAAUGAGCAGAAGACAAAGUUCUGGCCUUCAAGAGGAUUAUAUACUAGUAGGAGAAGUAAGCCUUCAAAGAAGCAAAAUUUAGAUGUAACGAAGGUGUACAAAACUGUAUGUGCCCUGUAGCUACUAAUGAUACAGCUCCCUAAACAAAAGAAUUUCCACCAAGAAAGAAUGCAGAAUCAUAUGGCUUUCCUAGCAAAUUCUACCAAAUAUUUAAGGAAGAAAUCCUCCGGAGAAAGGAAAGAGGAACAAUGGUUCCUGUUUGUUUCAUGACUUAGAUAACAAAAUCUGACCAGGUUAUUACCAAAAAGAAGAAUUAA